UGCGACCGGAACGUAUUUAUUAGAUAUUAGACCAAUCGCAGUAAUGUGAUUGAGAUGAAUCAAAGUAACUGAUCGAAUCGAAGCUUGCUUCGAUAAAUCAUCUAAGUUUCUGCCCUAUCAGCUCUCGAUGGUAGUGUAUUGGACUACCAUGGCAGUCACGGGUAACGGAGAAUUAGGGUUCGAUUCCGGAGAAGGAGCCUGAGAAACGGCUACUACAACUACGGUUCGGCAGCAGGGAAGAAAAUUGGCCAAUCCUAAUUCAGGGAGCCAGUGACAAGAAAUAGCAAGCUGGGAAACCUAGUUUCUACGGCAUUGAAAUGAGAAAAGUGUAAAUCUCUUAGCGAGGAACAAUUGGAGGGCAAGUCAUGGUGCCAGCAGCCGCGGUAAUUCCAGCUCCAAUAGCGUAUAUUAAAGUUGUUGCAGUUAAAAAGCUCGUAGUUGAACUUCUGUUCAGGUUCAUUUCGACUCGUCGUGUGAAACUGGACAUACGUUUGCAAACUAAAAUCGGCCUUCACUGGUUCGACUUAGGGAGUAAACAUUUUACUGUGAAAAAAUUAGAGUGUUCCAGGCAGGUUUUAGCCCGAAUACAUUAGCAUGGAAUAAUGGAAUAGGACUAAGUCCAUUUUAUUGGUUCUUGGAUUUGGUAAUGAUUAAUAGGGACAGUUGGGGGCAUUAGUAUUUAAUAGUCAGAGGUGAAAUUCUUGGAUUUAUUAAGGACUAACUAAUGCGAAAGCAUUUGCCAAAGAUGUUUUCAUUAAUCAAGAACGAAAGUUAGGGGAUCAAAGACGAUCAGAUACCGUCGUAGUCUUAACUAUAAACUAUACCGACUCGGGAUCGGCUGGAAUAAAUGUCCAGUCGGCACCGUAUGAGAAAUCAAAGUCUUUGGGUUCUGGGGGAAGUAUGGUACGCAAGUCUGAAACUUAAAGGAAUUGACGGAACAGCACACCAGAAGUGGAACCUGCGGCUUAAUUUGACUCAACACGGGGAAACUCACGAGCGCAAGACAGAGAAGGGAUUGACAGAUUGAGAGCUCUUUCUUGAUUCUUUGGGUGGUGGUGCAUGGCCGUUCUUAGUUGGUGGAGUGAUUUGUCUGGUUAAUUCCGUUAACGAACGAGACCUUAACCUGCUAACUAGUCUGCUUGUGAACAACAGGUUGUACUUCUUAGAGGGACUAUUGUGCAAGAAGCCAAUGGAAGUUUAAGGCAAUAACAGGUCUGUGAUGCCCCUAGACGUGCUCGGCCGCACGCGCGUUACAAUGACUGGCGCAGAAAGUAUUUCCUGUCCUGGGAAGGUACGGGUAAUCUUAUUAAUACCAGUCGUGUUAGGGAUAGUUCUUUGGAAUUGUGGAUCUUGAACGAGGAAUUUCUAGUAAGUGCAAGUCAUCAGC
rnacentral:rRNA from 1 species